GUAGAGACAGAGAGAGAGUGUAUGUUUGGAAGGAAGAGCAAAGCAGCGCAACAAAGAAGCUCAAGCAGAGCAGGGUGGAGACUGUGAGGUGCAAAACCGUUAAACAGACAAAAUGACAUGGCUCAGGUCAGAGGAAUUCAGAGGUGAUCCAGAUCCAGAUGAGGUGUGUAUAUGAAACCAUUUCAUUUUUAAUUCUAUCAAAAAAGAGGGCAUGUAUUUUGUAUUGUAAGUAAAAAUGUCCAGGUACUAUAAUUUAAUAGUAUUUAGUAAUAUAUGUAUAGUCCCUGUUAAUGACAAACAAAUGUGUGGGGUUUUUUAAAGUUAGAAUUCCAGUUUUUAAGUUUCUGAUAAUAAAUAUUGACUUUGUCGUUACCAUUCGAAAUGUAAGCCCUAAAUUGAGUAAAUGUGAUUGUGUGACAUUUUUAAAUCCGAAGUAUGUAUCUAACUGCUGAUGUAUGUCCACCCCUUACAGAAAUUGCGUGCAUUUCUAAAAUAAAUAAAUAAAUAAAUAAAUAAAUAAAUAAAAUAAAAUAAAAAAAAAAAACCCUGACAAGCU